rnacentral:rRNA from 1 species
UACGUAGGUGGCAAGCGUUGUCCGGAUUUACUGGGCGUAAAGAGCGCGCAGGCGGUCGAUUUAGUCGCGUGUGAAAGCCCCCGGCUCAACUGGGGAGGGUCACGCGAUACUGAUCGACUCGAAGGCAGGAGAGGGUAGUGGAAUUCCCGGUGUAGUGGUGAAAUGCGUAGAUAUCGGGAGGAACACCAGUGGCGAAGGCGACUACCUGGCCUGUUCUUGACGCUGAGGCGCGAAAGCUAGGGGAGCGAACGGG